rnacentral:lncRNA from 1 species
CCCACAAAUAUAUUCAGCCCACACAACUAGAAUCAAAUAAACAAUCUCCACAAUUAAUUAAAAUAUCACACACAUUUUAUAUAGGUUUCAAACUGCAAUACAACACCAAAAGCACAAAUGACUGCAGAACAUAGGCUACACCAAGAAUCUCAAAUGUCUUCCGAACAUCAGCUACAUCGAGAACAUCACAUGAUCAGCAUCAGCGAAGCAGUAGCGCACCAACAGGAGCACCGCACCAGCAAGAGAGUGCCAACAACAGGACAACAGCAGCAGCACGA